GCUUUGGCCCGGCUAUCCAAUAAAUUGCCAAAGCAGAGACAAAGUCAUGCGGACACCUUGACACCGUCGACAACAACUGCAGUUGGUCCGUCCGUCCGCCCCCCUCGAGCAUCCAGAUAUCCAGAUAUCGGGCGCUGCCCCGAUCUGCCUUUGAGUUACGAGAUAGGUUUGCCCACUGAGGAUAACUAGUGGAGCUUGCUAAAUUAAAAGCAUCAGUCGAGCGUCCGCAUCCCCGCCCAUCCCCUUUGGCAGUGUUCAAAGAAACCAAUGAGCUGUCAUUACAAUUAAAAAUAAAGUAAAAAUGCCAAAAACAAAACGAAAUGAAACAAGAACAACUGUCGAGCAGCCCAUCAAUCCGAAUCGAUGAUGCCGCCGCAGAUACAGAUACAAAAUGAAAAACACAAUAAAGUAAAACACAACAUUGUAAAAAGAGGGAUUCAUCGUAAAUGCAAAUUAAAUGCCUCGGAACCAACGCGAACCGUCGUCCGCUGCAUAUUUUGGCCAAUAUCCAAGGAAUGUUUUUUAAUCAGCACAUAAAAAAUAUUGCGCGUCUACAAUUUUUGCCUUCUUUUUUGCAACGAUUUCACGCGAUCCGAUUGGAUUCCACCCGACUCGAAUCGCGGCGAAUUCGUUCGAUUUAUUUAAUUGCAUUUUAAUUUAUUUGAAUUAUUUUCGUUGGCAUUAAUCGCCGCUCGGGAAUUUCAAUUAUAAUAAAACUUGAAAAAGAGCUGAAGCAUUUUUCAAUAGUGCAAGUGUGCAAUCGAAAACCAAUUAUAAGAAAGCAUUUUAUAGUCGGUUUCGAGCAUUACAUAUCUCUCGAUCCCCGCACCCUGGCCCACCACAUAUGUAUCAGCAACAAUGAAAAGAAAUCAACUGGCACCAGAAGUAUAAUUCUGGUUUUAUUGUUCAUGUAGAAAUAAAUUAAAAAUAAAAGUUGGUCAGCAACAAUCAAUCGAAUUUCAAAUAUACCUAUUUCUAUUUUCAAUUCCUUAAGCAUGCUGAUAAAAGAUUAACGUAAAACAAAAAAUGUUCUGUAAAAUAAGGACUUUAAAAACCACUCAGAAUAUGAAAUAUCAUAAAAUCGCACACGGAUAUCCUUCAUUUAAUUCUUUUCCCAUAUUUGACCAGAAGAUUUGAGGUUUGUACGGGGUCGUAAAACCACUUAACCUAAAAGCUUCACAACCCACGCCAUUGCCCGUGGAAAUGUGCAUAAAUCGAGCAAUUUAUAAUUCAUAUGGAAUCAUUUUUAUUUCCAAACCUCAACCACACACGGUCAAAAGGGAAAUUUCAGCCAGAAUUCGAUUGCAAUUCAGUGCAGAUGGGAUGGUUCGCAAUCGGGGAUCACGUACACCCCGUAUUAUGGCAAAUAAAUGUGCUCAAGGAUACAGGCGACUGGCUGCCAUUUGUGCGGGGGAUUAUUGCGAAAAGUUUAAAAAUUGAUUUUCAUCUGGCGAAAUGCCGCAGCAUAAAAGGAUUUCUCCUCAUAUUGGAAUUGAUUUUUUCUACGUAAACAUAAAUAAAAUAUGAACAGCGUUCGA